UGUGUAGCAGGUUUUACAUUGGAGCAAUACGGUGAAAAGGGAUUACGAUCAAAGAAGGCAUGUUAUAGGUGCUUCUUCAUAUGAUUAUGCAGCCAAGAUAGUGGGGGUAUUGAAUGGAAAUUUUUACUUUUUUACACUAAGAUUGUCCAAUUUUAGUUGUAUUUAUGGUUGAGUAAAUAGUGUCUUAACUUGUAUCUGAGAAGUCAUUGGAGCGGUAACCAUGACUUUAGGUUUUUUAUAGUAGUGGUACAUGUUGCUACUUUUUAGUACCCAUAGAAAGGAUGUACUCCACUGUUCAUUUAUGUAAAACUGCAAUUAUUUGAAUAAAGGAGUUCAUGUAUUUGCCUCACUUUUAUUCUAAGUAUAAAUUGAAUAUUAAAUUUGG
rnacentral:lncRNA from 1 species